UACUGUAAACAGGAAGGAUGUUUCCGGAACACAACACAUUGAAGCCUUCUACAACGACCUAGUCACCACACAUGGAUCAGCGAAAAAUUUACCCAUAUCGUGCACUUCAAAAAUGAGACCUGGUUUGUGUUUUUUCCCCCAAAACAUGGCUCAGCAAAUUCAAACACCACUUUUUCUAGUAAACGCAGCCUACGAUUCAUGGCAG